GUUACCCAUACCUCACCAUGCUUCCAUCUCUCGCUUGUUGCCUCAAAACUUCCCUUGUUCUAUUUCUCCUCCACAACCCGCCAUGCGUCACCUCCAGACGAACACCGGGCUUUGCACUGUCGCCACCAAUGGAAACAACCAUCCAAGACAACAACAACUACACGUGGCACAAUUUCAAAACCUUCCUCAAUGCCAGGAAGGGCAGCCACGUUAGCGGCAUGUCCGAGCUCAAAAGA
rnacentral:misc_RNA from 1 species